UUUUGUUUUUUUUUUUUUUUAUAUUUUCCGGGGGGGGAGUGUCAUAGCCUAACGGCUGAACCAGCAACUUGGAAGAAUGUAUAGCAAUUGCUAGUUGUUUCUAUCAAAAAAAAUGAAGCAAUAUCGAUUUGAUCGAAUAAAAUUCUGGAUAAAGUAAUGAUAAUGACAUUGUUUAUCCAUGAGUCUUGACCAAGUUACGUGCCAGCAGUCGCGGUAAUACGUAGAAGACUAGUGUUAUUCAUCUUUAAUGGGUUUAAAGGGUACCUAGACGGCAUACUAAGCCUUAACUGGAACUGGUAUGCUAGAGUUACUUGUAAGGAAGUUUUAAAGUACUAGAGGAGUAGAGAUAAAAUUCAAUCAUACCUUUUUUCUUAGGAAAAACUUCGGCACAGGUAUAGGUGAAAACAUCUUCUUAUGGGAUAACUGACGUUGAGGGACGAAGGCUUUUUAUAAUGAACAGGAUUAGAUACCCUGGUAGUCGAAGCAGUAAACGCUGAGUGUCAUAGAUUAGAUUUAAAUUUAUUCUAUAAAUGAAAGUGUAAGCACUCCACCUCAAGAGUAAUUUGGCAACAUUGGAACUGAAAUCAUUAGACCGUAUCUGAAACCAGUAGUGAAGUAUGUUAUUUAAUUUGAUAAUCCGCAAAAAACCUUACCACAACUUGAAUACUUACAUAUUUACUUAUCUAACCUGUAUAUGUGCAGUUUCUUGCUUACGCAGCUACAUGUGCAGUUUCUUGCUUCCGUAGGUAUAUGACAGAAAUUGCAUCUUAUGCACUGUUCUGAAUAGGUAAUAAUAUAUAGAUACAAGUGUUGCACGGCUGUCUAAAGUUAAUGUCGUAAGAUUAUGGUUAGUUCCGUUAAAUUAACGCAAACCCUUGCCCUAUUUUUAAAUAGGGUAGUUCUCCGCUAUAAUGGAUAAGAUAACAGGGAACACUGUGCAGUCGUGCUGUUGCUUG
rnacentral:rRNA from 1 species